rfam:Loxodonta africana unplaced genomic scaffold scaffold_22, whole genome shotgun sequence.
GGUGGCAUAGUGGUUAAGAGCUUGGCUACUAACCAAAAUGUCGGUGGUUCGAAUCCACCAGCCGCCC